UAGAAUAUCAAUUUUUUUUAUCAUAAUUGUAAGUUAUUAUGUUCCACGUUUUAUUAUAGAUAUUUCUGAAACGACGACUUCCCAUGGAUCACGACAACUGAUGGCAACGCAGAUUCUUCGCAUCUAAUGGUGAGUCGCAUGCAUUUUUGUUCCUCUGGUUACUCAAUCAUGUCGCAGGAUGAAAGAUCCGAACCGACACGGGUAACUGGUUGUAUACGUAGAAUUUUGCACGAGCACAGUGACCACGNNNNNNNNNNNNNNNNAGUAUUUAUAAUACCCAUUUAACCCUUUCCAUAUCCAUUGCCAGGACUUCACUCACGUGCUCAGAUGCUACUUGAGUGAAAGAGAGGUGAUGGGUAUGAUGAUCAUAGUUGAUAAGUUAAUAAAGAUUUUUUUGCGAUUGACGAUGAGUUAAUGUAUCGUGCACGAUGUAUUUUCCACAUUGUGUAUGUGUGACUAGGCUGUGGAAUUGCAUCGUUUCACUUAUUGAUGAAUUGAAUUAUUAUUUGCAAUUUUAUAUUCGCUUUUACACGAUGCGAAAUAAUAAUGAAUAGUAAUUUUAUAAUUUU
rnacentral:lncRNA from 1 species